CGACCCCAGGUCAGGCGGGGCUACCCGCUUGAGUUUAAGCAUAUCAAUAAGCGGAGGAAAAGAAACUAACAAGGAUUCCCCUAGUAACGGCGAGCGAAC
rnacentral:rRNA from 2 species